rnacentral:rRNA from 1 species
AGAUUGAACGCUAGCGGGAUGCUUUACACAUGCAAGUCGAACGGCAGCGCGGACUUCGGUCUGGCGGCGAGUGGCGAACGGGUGAGUAAUAUAUCGGACCGUGCCCAGUAGCGGGGGAUAACUACGCGAAAGCGUGGCUAAUACCGCAUACGCCCUACGGGGGAAAGGGGGGGAUUCUUCGGAACCUCUCACUAUUGGAGCGGCCGAUAUCAGAUUAGCUAGUUGGUGAGGUAAAGGCUCACCAAGGCGACGAUCUGUAGCUGGUUUGAGAGGACGACCAGCCACACUGGGACUGAGACACGGCCCAGACUCCUACGGGAGGCAGCAGUGGGGAAUUUUGGACUAGUGGGGGAAACCCUGAUCCAGCCAUCCCGCGUGUCGCGAU